GGUUUCGUUUUUUCCCGCCCCUCCCCCUUUUUUUUUUUUUUGUAUACGGUAAAUUUUCCGUCAUCGUGAGUAUAUAUCAUACAUUUCCGUAUCUGCGUGAUGCUGUCGUUCCAAUAAGUUAUGGGAAAAAGUCCGGCUUGGCCGGAGUAUACAUACGAAAUCAAUCCGUAAAUCUAACAAAUUACGGAUCUUUCGCUAUAGAACCGGAUUUCGAAUUUUCGAACGACGACGCGUUAUCGGCAAUCGUAAUUGUGCAUUCAUAUUUGAAAACGAGUUCGGAUUAAAACAAAAAAUAUUAAUAUAAAAAGGCUGCAAAUUGUAAAAUCCAAAUUUCUAAUUUCGAUUUAUGUCCCGUCACCACAUUUCAUUGCGUCGAAAAGUGUUCACAACAGAUCAACGUCCUGCAAGCAUUGAUACUAUUAUAAUCCAAAUAUAUAUCUGCAUUUACAUUAUAAACGUACUCGAAAAAAGUAGAUAAUGAUGGUAUUUUUUUUUUUAUUUUUAAAAAUUUGUCGUUUAAAAAGACAAUUAAUCGAACACGUUAGUACGUUGUUACAAUAUAAACGGUAACUGAGAUAUUAUAAAUAUAUUAUAGCCGUCAGUGGCGUACAGUGACACGUACCGAACUCCCGUCGCGUCCGAUCAAAACGGUUUACGCAUAUUGAAAUUAGUGAAAAUAAUCCCAAGCGCGUUCUACACCGAAAAUGAUGUUCGAAAGGAGUUUUUCGACUCUAUAUUAUUUUAUCGCGUACAUGAUGUAUCGACUAAAGGAAUCAACGAGCAGGCAAAUUCGUAUUUGGUUCCAUGUUGUGUAUGGCCGCAAAAUAAUAAUUACAUAAUUAAAACCACUCCAGCCUCCCGCGCCUCCUGGCUCCCUAACAAACGUCUUUAAUUUCGGAAAUAACCCCAAUACCUACCCGCCCAAUAUCGUUGUACGCCACUGAUAGCAGUAGCGUAUAGAUUUUUAUACUGUUAAUUGUAAUAUUUCAUUGUUAACUGUAAUAUUUCACACGUGUCGAACGUGUGCGAGAUUUUCCGUCCGGUUUAUAGAAUUUAAUAUCGUUUGUCGUUCGCGAUCCGUUUAGGGAAAUUACACGGACGUAUUAUAGGUGCGCGUUAAACAGUGCGCGGAACUAAAUUCAAAAUUGUCCAGUAUACUAGGAAGUUUAGCGAGCAUAUUUUGCAGACAAAGCCGAUCGCUUAUUCGCCCGUCAAAUAUACACCCGCGAAUAACCACGUUCGUUAUUAUGAUUGUUGAAGUUGAACGCGACGAAAUCUGUACAAUUUACAUCACUAAUUGUCGUUAUUUUUUUUUUUUUUUUUUAUUAGCGAGCAAAAUUACUAUUUUUCCACCAAAUCCCGUGCACUGUUCUUUAUAAAUCGUUUCGUUUAAUGACAUUAAAUUAUUACAGUCGUGUGGUCUGAAAUCCGUCAUACCCGUUAUAUACUAUCUAUCUAAUAAAAUUUGAACUGUUCGGAAAAAAAUUUCAAAAAUCCACGGGGUGCAAUCUUAAUCUACGCCUCUGCCUGUACCGACGCGUCCCGCAAACGACGACUGACACUAUUGUACAACAAUUUAAUGCCUUAAUUAUUCAAUUCGAAUAUGUUUUUUUUUAUUAUUAUUAUUAUUAUUAUAAUGUUUAACGUAUUGUCUAUGUAAAAGACGCGAUGACGCGAAAUUCGUAGGCGAAAAAAAAAAUAAUAUUAUAGAUGUUCGCGCACAUUUUGUUGUAAAUAUAUAAAACGGAUAUUACGCGUAUAUUAUACAAUAUAAGACGUGGAAGAAAAAAAAAUGAAUAGUUUUAGACGACUAAUAAAUAAUAUUAUAUAAACAUUAUUGUAGAAAAUAGUAAAAAUCUAGUACAAACAUUCUAGUCGUGUUAUGUUUAUGUAUGUUUGUGUUAAACAUUUUUUUUUUUUUUUUUUUUUUAUUACUAUUAUUUCGUGUGGGCUUGUUUUGUAUUAAUACGCAUAUGAUAUAUAAUAAUAAUAUUAUAAUAUAUAUAUAUAUAUAUAUAUAUAUAUAGUGUAAUGAUGACAUUUAUAUAACUGAACGGUUUAAUAAAUACAAUAAAAUCACUCAAAUAUCCAUACUGCGCGGUUCCCCGUGUUUAUCGUCUUCCUCGUCGUUUCUGCCGUAUGACUUCCGAGCGUGCGACGUAACGUUACAACUCGGCACGCACAAAAUAUUUGAAAACAU